rnacentral:rRNA from 1 species
GACGAACGCUGGCGGCGUGCCUAAUCCAUGCAAGUCGAACGCAGUGGGGACGGGUGAGUAUCACGUGGGUAACCUCCCAUCAGAGGGGAUAACACUUGGAAACAGGUGCUAAACCGAUAUUGAUGGUUGGACCUGCGGUGCAUUAGCUAGUUGGGGAGGUAACUGCUCACCAAGGCUACGAUGCAUAGCCGACCUGUGAGGGUGAUCGGCCACACUGGGAUCGAGACACGGCCCAGACUUCUACGGGAGGCAGCAGGAGGGAAUCUUCGGCAAUGGACGAAAGGCUGACCGAGCAAUGCCGCGUGAGUGAAGAAGGUUUUCGGAUCGUAAAACUCUGUUGUUAGAGAAGCGGUAUCUAACCAGAAAGCCACGGCUAACUACGUGCCAGCAGCCGCGGUAAUAC